rnacentral:rRNA from 1 species
CAGACCGCCAGCUAAGGUCCCAAAGUCAUGGUUAAGUGGGAAACGAUGUGGGAAGGCCCAGACAGCCAGGAUGUUGGCUUAGAAGCAGCCAUCAUUUAAAGAAAGCGUAAUAGCUCACUGGUCGAGUCGGCCUGCGCGGAAGAUGUAACGGGGCUAAACCAUGCACCGAAGCUGCGGCAGCGAACGUAUCACUUAAAGCGAUUCAGCGGGUUACGAUUGACGGAGCGAAGCGACGUCAAAGCGUAUACAAAGUCGAGUCGGUUUAAGGAUACGUUCGUUGGGUAGGGGAGCGUUCUGUAAGCCUGUGAAGGUGGCCUGUGAGGGUUGCUGGAGGUAUCAGAAGUGCGAAUGCUGACAUAAGUAACGAUAAAGCGGGUGAAAAGCCCGCUCGCCGGAAGACCAAGGGUUCCUGUCCAACGUUAAUCGGGGCAGGGUGAGUCGACCCCUAAGGCGAGGCCGAAAGGCGUAGUCGAUGGGAAACGGGUUAAUAUUCCCGUACUUGGUGUUACUGCGAAGGGGGGACGGAGAAGGCUAUGUUGGCCGGGCGACGGUUGUCCCGGUUUAAGCGUGUAGGCUGGUUUUCCAGGCAAAUCCGGAAAAUCAAGGCUGAGGCGUGAUGACGAGGCACUACGGUGCUGAAGCAACAAAUGCCCUGCUUCCAGGAAAAGCCUCUAAGCAUCAGGUAACAUCAAAUCGUACCCCAAACCGACACAGGUGGUCAGGUAGAGAAUACCAAGGCGCUUGAGAGAACUCGGGUGAAGGAACUAGGCAAAAUGGUGCCGUAACUUCGGGAGAAGGCACGCUGACACGUAGGUGAAGUGAUUUACUCACGGAGCUGAAGUCAGUCGAAGAUACCAGCUGGCUGCAACUGUUUAUUAAAAACACAGCACUGUGCAAACACGAAAGUGGACGUAUACGGUGUGACGCCUGCCCGGUGCCGGAAGGUUAAUUGAUGGGGUCAGCGCAAGCGAAGCUCCUGAUCGAAGCCCCGGUAAACGGCGGCCGUAACUAUAACGGUCCUAAGGUAGCGAAAUUCCUUGUCGGGUAAGUUCCGACCUGCACGAAUGGCGUAAUGAUGGCCAGGCUGUCUCCACCCGAGACUCAGUGAAAUUGAACUCGCUGUGAAGAUGCAGUGUACCCGCGGCAAGACGGAAAGACCCCGUGAACCUUUACUAUAGCUUGACACUGAACAUUGAGCCUUGAUGUGUAG